rnacentral:rRNA from 1 species
ACUGCGGAGGGACAUUACACAAAUAUGAAGGCGGGCUGGAACCUCUCGGGGUUACAGCCUUGCUGAAUUAUUCACCCUUGUCUUUUGCGUACUUCUUGUUUCCUUGGUGGGUUCGCCCACCACUAGGACAAACAUAAACCUUUUGUAAUUGCAAUCAGCGUCAGUAACAAAUUAAUAAUUACAACUUUCAACAACGGAUCUCUUGGUUCUGGCAUCGAUGAAGAACGCAGCGAAAUGCGAUAAGUAGUGUGAAUUGCAGAAUUCAGUGAAUCAUCGAAUCUUUGAACGCACAUUGCGCCCUUUGGUAUUCCAAAGGGCAUGCCUGUUCGAGCGUCAUUUGUACCCUCAAGCUUUGCUUGGUGUUGGGCGUCUUGUCUCUAGCUUUGCUGGAGACUCGCCUUAAAGUAAUUGGCAGCCGGCCUACUGGUUUCGGAGCGCAGCACAAGUCGCACUCUCUAUCAGCAAAGGUCUAGCAUCCAUUAAGCCUUUUUUUCAACUUUUGACCUCGGAUCAGGUAGGGAUACCCGCUGAACUUAAGCAUAUCAAUAAGCCGGGAGGA